UACAGAGGGUGCGAGCGUUGUUCGGAAUUAUUGGGCGUAAAGCGCUUGUAGGCGGCCUGUCAAGUCGCGUGUGAAAUCCCCUGGCUUAACCAGGGAAGUGCGCGCGAAACUGAAGGGCUUGAGUGCCGGAGAGGGUCGCGGAAUUCCCGGUGUAGAGGUGAAAUUCGUAGAUAUUGGGAAGAACACCGGUGGCGAAGGCGGCGACCUGGUCCGAUACUGACGCUGAGGCGCGAAAGCGUGGGGAGCGAACAGG
rnacentral:rRNA from 1 species